GCCUUUGUGGCAUAGUGGUGUGAGUGUUGGACUACCCCUCUGGAGACCAGGAUUCAAUUCCUGCUCAGCCA